GAUGAACGCUAGCGGCAGGCUUAAUACAUGCAAGCCGAGGGGCAGCACGGUUAGCAAUAACUGGUGGCGACCGGCGCACGGGUGCGUAACACGUAUACAAUCUACCUUAAACAGGGGGAUAGCCUUUCGAAAGAGAGAUUAAUACCCCGUAAUAAAUUGAACGGCAUCGUUUGAUUUUGAAAGCUCCGGCGGUUUGAGAUGAGUAUGCGUCUGAUUAGCUAGUUGGUGAGGUAACGGCUCACCAAGGCGACGAUCAGUAGGGGAUCUGAGAGGACUAACCCCCACACUGGUACUGAGACACGGACCAGACUCCUACGGGAGGCAGCAGUAAGGAAUAUUGGUCAAUGGAGGCAACUCUGAACCAGCCAUGCCGCGUGCAGGAUGACGGCCCUAUGGGUUGUAAACUGCUUUUAUACAAGAGAAAACCCUGGUAACGUGUACCAGGUUGAUAGUAUUGUAAGAAUAAGCAUCGGCUAACUUCGUGCCAGCAGCCGCGGUAAU
rnacentral:rRNA from 1 species